GUGCUGUAGGAGAAAAGCUAAAAAGGAAGAAACACAAACCAUUGCUCCGUAUGAGAGAACGUCUUACAAAGAACAUCUUUCUGAUCCCACAUAUCUGUCACACACACCUGAGAAGAGGCCCAACUACCAGAGCAUGGGAGAACCAGAAGCACAACAUGACAACCGAGCCGGGAUCUACAUGAUGAAUCCUCAGAGAUGAAAACCACAACACUGCUAUAAGAGAGAGGCGUGGAGGAACCCAUGCUAUGAAGGUCAGGAUGGUAAAGUGGCUUCUCUCAUAGAAGAUGCUGUUUUUCUAAAAAUGUGGACUUGUCAACAUUACUAUGUGUAAUCUAUGUAUUAUACACAACUGGACUGAACUAUUUCUGUGCUUUUUCUGAAGCACAAAUAUGGGCAUUUGGGUCUGUGAACUUUUGCAUCUCUUACUCUAUUUCUAUUUUACUUUGCUCACGGCGCAUACUCUUCAACAGUACGCAGAUAUGUUGCGCACACUCUAUAUCACUUCAUCAUUAAUAACCCGCACAAGAAAUAUGAGCAUACAUACCCAGUUCUGUCGUCAGUCAUGCAAUCUCCAAAAAGAAGAUUAAAGCUGCAAACUUUGCAUGCAAGAACGUCGCUCAAAUGAAUGUACUAAAAUAUAUUCUAUAAUUCGAGAAUAACUGUGUAUUUUUAUUUGUAAUUUAACGCAUAGAUAAAUGUGAGCACAGUGCACUUAUAUAGUAUAAGUGUACUGUGUUCACAUCUAUAUGUGCAUUAAAUUACACAUUUUACAAAUCUAGUAGAAUAUAUAUGAUAAUGGAAAUUGAAAUGCAUAAAAUAACAAAUUUUAUAUCCUGGCAUUUAUGUCUAAUGCUGACUUCCAUUUCCCCAUCUCUCUUGCGUGUCUUAUCCAUUAGUAUGCAAUAUUGGAGAGCAAGCAUUUGGGAGUUUUGAGAAGUUGAAUGAGCAAUAAAGCUAUAGUGGGCCCCUUUAUAAAAUACCUGGAGGUGGGGAAUAAUACAAAAAUUGUCAUAUUCACUGAGUAUGACUUGAUCUAAUUCACUAUUAUCUCAAUUACAGCUUAUUCGAAAUUAAUUGUACUUAGUUGUGUUUUUGGAACGAAAACAUUUCAGUACAUUUUAGUCAAACACAUUUUUAUAUUGAAAUAAUGAAGAUUUCUGUGCCACCCCAGACUGGUCGCUGGCCCCUCCCUGGCCACCCCGAUGAAAACAUCCUGGCUCCGCCACUGCAUAAGACAGUGGGGGGCUAGUUGUCACAUUCUAUCCUUCACUAAAUAUUCACCAGGUUAGGUUUAUAUUUUCAAGAAAGCCUUUGAACAUUUGCACUGUUUCAAAAAUAUUUCAUUUAAAGUGUACUUUAUUUUGAUAUUCAGUGGUGUGACUGAAAUUUCAGACAGUAAAACAAUUAUAAAACAGAAUAAUUUUUUGACUGAAGGAUUUGCAUA